rnacentral:rRNA from 1 species
AGCGAACGCUGGCGGCAGGCCUAACACAUGCAAGUCGAGCGCCCGUAGCAAUACGGGAGCGGCAGACGGGUGAGUAACACGUGGGAACGUACCCUUCGGUUCGGAAUAACCCAGGGAAACUUGGACUAAUACCGAAUACGUCCGUAAGGAGAAAGAUUUAUCGCCGAAGGAUCGGCCCGCGUCCGAUUAGCUAGUUGAUGGGGUAAUGGCCCACCAAGGCUGCGACGGGUAGCUGGUCUGAGAGGACGACCAGCCACACUGGCACUGCGACACGGGCCAGACUCCUACGGGAGGCAGCAGUGAGGAAUAUUGCGCAAUGGACGACAGUCUGACGCAGCGACGCCGCGUGGGGGAUGAAGA